UGUACGAAAAUUCAGAUUUCUAUUUGAAAAAGUCCUUAUCUCAUAAUCCAAACUGCAUUACUAAACUUAUCGCUUAGUUUGAUCAGUAAAAGAAAGAAGCUGAGAUAAGCUAGAGAGGAGAGUUAUCUAACUGUGGGCGUUGUAAUUAUACCUUAUCGGAGUGCAUCGAGCUAGCAGCGCGACUUCUUAGUUAUUUACGAGAAACAUCAAUGAUGUCGAUGCGAGUGACACAAGG